CCCCAGGACACAAGGGCCAACAUAAGAGUUUAGUUAUUCAAAUUAAUGAUUUGUACAUUCAUCCUUUUGCCAGUGUUACCUCAGUGACACCCACCCAUCCAUCUGACACAACUUUGCACACUGAUUUUCUUUAGAGGUACAAUUAUUUGUAAUUGACUUGUUACUUUUUUCAGAUUCUUAGUUGUCCUUCAGAUGUCAUAAUCUAUUUUAAGGUGACUCAGAAUUAUAUAUUUGAAAAAUUGUGAUGUGGCCUACACACUGUUGUAAAACCAAAAUUCAAAUUAUGUGGGGCACUUUUCUGGGUAAAGUUACAAUUGAACUGUCUAAUCUUAAUAUUCUACCAGUUACUGAUGGUGUAAUCUGUCUGGAGCCUUCUGCCAUAACAGACCUCCAUGCAGUUGAGGAUGAAGACACCUUGUCAGCUGCCACAGAGAGGGAAAAUACAGAGAGGCCUAUUGACGUUUACACCUUAAAAAUUACAUCUAACAGUUGAUGGUGUUGUACCAUAAUAAAACUUGCACCUUUUUCUCUAACAGAGCAAUGCUGGAAAUUACACCUACACAGCACAAUUUACCUCAGUAAGAUUUUGUUCAGCAUUGGCCCAUUACUUACAAUGAAAUUAAGUAGACCUGGCACUGAAAUUCAAUGUCAUUUUUUUGUGUUCCUAUAGCUCCCUGUGAAACAGCUGUACUAUGUGUACUUAAAGAACCAAAUUGAAAAAUGUAAUUUAGAUUUUACUUGUUUGAACAUAAAAGUAUUACUGUACUGCAUUUGUACUUGCAGGAAAUAAAGACUUCAUAAAAAGAAA